rnacentral:snoRNA from 1 species
GGUGAAAAUGAUGAAAUAUGACAGGUACUUAUGAGAGGCAUUUACAUAGGUACUCCUGGUGCAGCUUUCUUUAGUUGUGCCGAGAAGCUAGUUUAGGCCUCUGUGAAUACUGGUUUACUGUUGUCUGAUUCACU